AGUGAGAAGACGGGCCAAGAAAAGUGAGUUGUGUGUGUACUUGGGCCCAGCUCCUGAAGAAAUGUCACCAGGAGUUCCCAGAUUGCCUAGUUCAAGUUUCAAACGGGGCUUUCUUUCUAAGGACGAUGGUAACCCAGAGCUGGCUUCCUAGUCUCCAGCCUGCACCGCUGUGCUUAGCUCCACCUGGUGGCCACAUGGCCCACUGCAGCGGCUUCCGCAGACUGCCAAGAGGCAGCAGGAAGGACCACAUCUAAGCACUGCAAGGUCCGUUGGGUUGCUCAGGGAGAUUUUCACACGCUGCCAGUGAAGUUCAAAGCCUGGCUGGAAGCUUCCAGCGCAAAGAAGCCCGUCCAAAAUACCCUUGGCGCUGACAAGGCAUCGGCAAGAGACCUUGUGGGUGCUAAGUCCAUGCCCUGCCACCUUCACAUGCUUCUCAGGAGCCCUUCAGAAGACAGAUCAGUGGUUGCUAUGCAGCGCUAAGGAAAUGGCAGGUCCUGCUAAUAAUCCAGCGUGGCCCAAUGCCUUCCAUGGAAUCUAUCCUAAAAAGACCUCUGCAGCAUCACCCCUUCACACUGAUGCUACCAGGAGAGAUACAUCAGUCCCCCAGGAUUCCACUAUUGGCUCUUUAAAAGAUGAAGACCUGCUUAGCAUUUGGCCUAGUAAAUGCUCUCAUCAUUUCCAACAGACAAUAUAUAUUUGUGAUAUUGGAUAUUGAUUGUCAACUUGACAGGAUCUCAAAUUACCUAAAAGACAAGUUUUAGGGCAUUAUCUAGAGUGGGUUAACUGAAAGGGAAGACCUGCUCUAACUGUCUGACCAAUAUGAGAGAGAGAGAGAGAGAGAGAGAGAGAGAGAGAGAGAGAGAGAGAGAGAGAGAGAGAGAAGGGGUGGGAACAAGCACUGUUCAUCUGCCUCAGCCUCCUGACUGUAGAUACAAUGUCACCAGCUUCCUCAAGCUCCUGUU